rnacentral:rRNA from 1 species
AACGCGAAGAACCUUACCAGGUCUUGACAUCCAAAGAACCUUUACGAAAGUAAGGGGUGCCUUCGGGAGCUUUGAGACAGGUGGUGCAUGGUUGUCGUCAGCUCGUGCCGUGAGAUGUUGGGUUAAGUCCCGCAACGAGCGCAACCCUUGCUAUUAGUUGCUAACAUUUCGGAUGAGCACUCUAAUGGGACUGCCCGUGACAAGCGGGAGGAAGGUGGGGAUGACGUCAAAUCAUCAUGCCCUUUAUGAUCUGGGCUACACACGUGCUACAAUGGAUGGUACAGAGAGCAGCGACACUGCGAGGUGGAGCCAAUCCCAUAAAAUCGGUCUCAGUCCGGAUUGGAGUCUGCAACUCGACUCCAUGAAGUUGGAAUCGCUAGUAAUCGCGGAUCAGCAUGCCGCGGUGAAUACGUUCCCGGGUCUUGUACACACCG